rnacentral:sRNA from 1 species
UACAAUAUGCAUAAAAGUAAUAUAGGUA